rnacentral:rRNA from 1 species
UACGUAGGGGCUAGCGUUGUCCGGAAUCAUUGGGCGUAAAGAGCGUGUAGGCGGCCCGGUAAGUCCGCUGUAAAAGUCAAAGGCUCAACCUUUGAAUGUCAGUGGAUACUGCCGGGCUAGAGUCCGGAAGAGGCGAGUGGAACUCCUGGUGUAGCGGUGGAAUGCGCAGAUAUCAGGAAGAACACCAACGGCGAAGGCAGCUCGCUGGGACGGUACUGACGCUGAGACGCGAAAGCGUGGGGGAGCGAACAGG